rnacentral:rRNA from 1 species
AUUGAACGCUGGCGGCAUGCUUUACACAUGCAAGUCGAACGGUAACAGGCCUUCGGGUGCUGACGAGUGGCGAACGGGUGAGUAAUGCAUCGGAACGUACCCAGAGGUGGGGGAUAACGCAGCGAAAGCUGUGCUAAUACCGCAUGUGAUCUGAGGAUGAAAGCGGGGGACCGAGCAGCAAUGUUUGGCCUCGCGCCUUUGGAGCGGCCGAUGUCGGAUUAGCUAGUUGGUGGGGUAAAGGCCUACCAAGGCGACGAUCCGUAGCUGGUCUGAGAGGACGACCGGCCAAACUGGAACUGGGACACGGCCCAGCUCCCUACGGGAGGCAGAGGUGGGAAAUUUGGACAAUGGGCGCAAGCCUGAUCCAGCAAUGCCGCGUGCGGGAAGAAGGCCUUCGGGUUGUAAACCGCUUUUGGCAGGAACGAAACGGUGUCCGCUAAUACCGGGCGCUAAUGACGGUACCUGCAGAAUAAGCACCGGCUAACUACGUG